rnacentral:rRNA from 1 species
AAAAGCUAUAGUGCAAACUAUUGUGAAGAUAUCGGAAGUGAGAAUACUUGCAUGAGUAGCACAAAACAACGGUAAGCGUUGUGGCCGUAAGUCCAAGGUUUCCGAUCUAAAGUAAAGUUGGGUCGGCAGAAGUACAUACUUCUAAAAAAAACGGUCCCUAAGCUGUUAAGCCAAGGCUUCUGGUAAUGGGUAAGACUGUACUGUAACAAGUAACUGACGAAGAAUUCACUUUAUUUUUAUUAAACGUAAAGGUAAAUUAUUUUUUCCAAGAAAAAGGUUCU